rnacentral:rRNA from 1 species
AUUGAACGCUGGUGGCAUGCUUAACACAUGCAAGUCGGACGGUAACAGGCAGGUGCUUGCACUUGUGCUGACGAGUGGCGGACGGGUGAGUAAUGUAUAGGAAUCUGUCCUUUCGAGGGGGAUAGCUCUGGGAAACUAGAGGUAAUACCGCGUACGGCCUACGGGCUAAAGGUGGCGCAAGCUGUCGCGAAAGGGUGAGCCUAUAUUAGAUUAGCUAGAUGGUGGGGUAAAAGCCUACCAUGGCUACGAUCUAUAGCUGUUCUGAGAGGAAGAUCAGCCACACUGGGACUGAGACACGGCCCAGACUCCUACGGGAGGCAGCAGUGGGGAAUAUUGGACAAUGGGCGAAAGCCUGAUCCAGCAAUGUCACGUGUGUGAAGAAGGCCUGAGGGUUGUAAAGCACUUUUGCAAGUGAGGAAGUUUAUUGGGUGAAUAGCCUAGUAAAUUGACGUUAGCUUGAGAAUAAGCACCGGCAAACUCCG